rnacentral:tRNA from 1 species
GCCUUCGUGGUGUAGUGGUCAGCACGCUCGACGCUUACAGAUCCGUGGUUCAAGUCCUGGUGAGGGCA